AUACUUUUCUCGACCUUUUGGCUACGAUCAAGUGUAGCAUAUGUUCUUAUCCGUUUAAUAUUUGAUAUGUGUGCCAUCAACUCACACCAUAUUAACUUCAUUUUUUGAGGAGAAGAUCUAUAAAAGUAGCUUGCUAUUUAGGUCUUCAAGCGUCGCCCGUUCGUUGUACUAUUGUUCGGGUUUGGGGUACCUCAC